GAUGAACGCUAGCUACAGGCUUAACACAUGCAAGUCGAGGGGUAGCAGGGUAGCAAUACCGCUGACGACCGGCGCACGGGUGAGUAACACGUAUCCAACCUUCCCAUAACUCUGGGAUAACCUUUCGAAAGAAAGAUUAAUACCGGAUGGUACUUUUUCAAGGCAUCUUGAGAAAGUUAAAGAUUUAUUGGUUAUGGAUGGGGAUGCGUUCCAUUAGAUAGUUGGUGAGGUAACGGCUCACCAAGUCUUCGAUGGAUAGGGGUUCUGAGAGGAAGGUCCCCCACAUUGGUACUGAGACACGGACCAAACUCCUACGGGAGGCAGCAGUGAGGAAUAUUGGUCAAUGGGCGAGAGCCUGAACCAGCCAAGUAGCGUGAAGGAUGAAGGUCCUAUGGAUUGUAAACUUCUUUUAUAGUAGAAUAAAGUGAUCCACGUGUGGAUUUUGUAUGUAUACUAUGAAUAAGGAUCGGCUAACUCCGUGCCAGCAGCCGCGGUAAGAUAGCGU
rnacentral:rRNA from 1 species